rnacentral:rRNA from 1 species
UACGUAGGGGGCUAGCGUUGUCCGGAAUCAUUGGGCGUAAAGAGCGUGUAGGCGGCCCGGUAAGUCCGCUGUGAAAGUCGGGGGCUCAACCCUCGAAAGCCGGUGGAUACUGGCGUGCUUGAGGACUGGAGAGGAGACUGGAAUUCAUGGUGUAGCAGUGAAAUGCGUAGAGAUCAUGAGGAAGACCAGUGGCGAAGGCGGGUCUCUGGGCAGUAACUGACGCUGAGGAGCGAAAGCGUGGGGAGCGAACAGGAUC